rnacentral:rRNA from 1 species
GCCCCCAGUCUCCAUAGCAGCCUGAGAAUGCCCCAGCCCUGAAGUUAAGCAGGGUCUGCCCUGACUGACACUUGGUUGGGAGACCAUAAGGAGAAACCGGGGCUGGAGGCU